UGGGGAAUCUUCCGCAAUGGACGAAAGUCUGACGGAGCAACGCCGCGUGAGUGAAGAAGGUUUUCGGAUCGUAAAACUCUGUCUUUUGGGGCGAACGUGAGUAUGGUGAACAAUCAUAGUCAGUGACGGUACCAAAGGAGGAAGCCACGGCUAACUACGUCCAGCAGCCGCGGUAAUACGUAGGUGGCAAGCGUUGUCCGGAAUUAUUGGGCGUAAAGAGCGCGUAGGCGGGAUAGUCAGUCUGUUGUAAAGUGCGGGCUCAACCCGUGAUGGCAAUGGAAACAGCUAUUCUUGAGUGCAGGAGAGGAAAGUGGAAUUCCCAGUGUAGCGGUGAAAUGCGUAGAUAUUGGGAGGAACACCAGUGGCGAAGGCGACUUUCUGGACUGUGUCUGACGCUGAGGCGCGAAAGCCAGGGG
rnacentral:rRNA from 1 species